UGCGGCGCGAUUCGAGCGGUGCGAACCGCCGGGGGCUGGCACCAGCCCUGCAGCAGGCAGCGCGCAAGCUCACGGUCGUG
rnacentral:SRP_RNA from 13 species